rnacentral:rRNA from 1 species
UACAGAGGUCUCAAGCGUUGUUCGGAUUCAUUGGGCGUAAAGGGUGCGUAGGCGGCGCGGUAAGUCGGGUGUGAAAUUUCGAGGCUUAACUUCGAAACUGCAUUCGAUACUGCCGUGCUAGAGGACUGGAGAGGAGACUGGAAUUUACGGUGUAGCGGUGAAAUGCGUAGAUAUCGUAAGGAAGACCAGUGGCGAAGGCGGGUCUCUGGACAGUUCCUGACGCUGAGGAGCGAAAGCCAGGGGAGCAAACGGG